rnacentral:rRNA from 1 species
ACGAACGCUGGCGGCGUGCCUAAUACAUGCAAGUCGAACGGUCUUUCUAUGGAAGCUUGCUUCCACUGAGAAGAUAGUGGCGAACGGGUGAGUAACACGUGGGUAACCUGCCCAUAAGAGGGGGGAUAACAUCCGGAAACGGGUGCUAAUACCGCAUAGUUUUCUUGAUUGCAUGAUUGAGAAAGGAAAGACGGCCUUUGUGCUGUCGCUUAUGGAUGGACCCGCGGCGUAUUAGUUAGUUGGUGAGGUAACGGCUCACCAAGACGAUGAUACGUAGCCGACCUGAGAGGGUGAUCGGCCACAUUGGGACUGAGACACGGCCCAAACUCCUACGGGAGGCAGCAGUAGGGAAUCUUCCGCAAUGGACGAAAGUCUGACGGAGCAACGCCGCGUGAGUGAAGAAAAGGUUUUCGGAUCGUAAAACUCUGUUGUCAGAGAAGAACAAGUUGGAGAGUAACUGCUCCAGCCUUGACGGUAUCUGACCAGAAAGCCACGGCUAACUACGUGCCAGCAGCCGC